AUCGCUUCUCGGCCUUUUGGCUAAGAUCAAGUGUAGGAACUAUGAGCUUACAUGUCUGUAUUGACGGGGUUGCAUGACAUACCUCAGUGGGAACAUAUUGUUUAGCUUUCCCUCAGUGCAUGAGUUCCUUCCUGUCUAGAGUUCCUGCAACACAUUCUUCCUUCCUUUCUUCACUGCCAUCUAUAAGAUACAUUUC